UACAGAGGCCUCGAGCGUUAGGCGGAAUCACUGGGCUUAAAGCGUGUGUAGGUGGAUGCCUAAGUACCUUGUGAAAUCCCACGGCUUAACCGUGGAACUGCUGGGUAUACUGGGUGUCUUGAGCCACUCAGGGGCUACCGGAACAAGCGGUGGAGCGGUGAAAUGCGUAGAUAUCAUUUGGAACGCCAAUGGUGAAAACAGGUAGCUGGGAGUGUGCUGACGCUGAGACACGAAAGCCAGGGGAGCGAACGGG
rnacentral:rRNA from 1 species